AGUCACUGUCAGGAAGCUGAGCUAGGAUGCCUUUAGCUUUGAUGACUGGGGUGACUUGGCUCAUUCCACAUGUUUCUCAUCCUCUAGUGGGCUAUACUGGGAAUGUUCUCACAGUAAUGGCACAGAGAAAGGAAAUCUCCGGCAUAAAAGACAUUGGAACUAAGAAAUGUGUUGAUUAAAAAAAUAUAGGAAGUGACAGCAGGAACACAGUACUACCUUAAUUACCAAAGCCAUUUCUAACUUUGGGUGUCAGCUAAUACUUAUUCUGCCUAGGUGGUGUUCUGAUUUAUAUGAGUGUCUGAAAGAUAUAAUGUCUUUCCCAGAGGACUUUAUUAGAAUCUAAUGAUUCAACUUGAAUGCAGAAAACAUAAAAAUGUGUGUGUUCAGGAAAGGCAGAAGCUGGAGGUAAGUUGUGGGGAGACACACUUAGUGAGACAGAUGAGUCCAGGCCUGAGGCACCUCAACCCAUCCACAUUCUUCUUCCACUAUUAGUUUUAUAUUUUCUUCAUAAAAGCAAGAUUUUUUUUUCUCAGAAAGAUAUAUGUGCUUUUCAUGUCUGCAUUCUGAUAAGGAAAAUAGUCAAGAGAAAUCAUGAAAGUAUUAAAGAAUGGCCACUAAUUGAAUUACUUUAGACAAUAAAAAUGCAGCUGUUCUUUGCACCCAAAUGAGUGUUACCAUUCAAUUUUUCAAAUAAAGUUAAAAAAGGAGUAAUUUUUGCUCAAAAAAAAAAAAAAAAAAAAAAAAAAAAAAA
rnacentral:lncRNA from 1 species